CCUACGGGAGGCAGCAGUGGGGAAUAUUGCACAAUGGGCGCAACCCUGAUGCAGCGACGCCGCGUGAGCGAAGAAGGCUUUCGGGAUGUAAAGCUCUAUCAGCAGGGACGAAAAAAGACGGUUCCCUACUAAGAAGCCCCGGCUAACUACGUGCCCGCAGCCGCGGGAAUACGGAGGGGGCAAGCGUUAUUCGGAUUUACUGGGUGUAAAGGGAGCGUAGGCGGGAAGGCAAGCCAGAAGUGAAAGGGCAGGGCUCAACCCUGUACAUGCAUUUGGAACUGUGGUGCUAGAGUGCAGGAGAGGUAAGUGGAAUUCCUAGUGUAGCGGUGAAAUGCGUAGAGAUUAGGAGGAACACCAGUGGCGAAGGCGGCUUACUGGACUGUAACUGACGUUGAGGCGCGAAAGCGUGGGGAGCAAACAGGAUUAGAUACCCCAGUAGUC
rnacentral:rRNA from 1 species